UCCAGGGUAACCUAGUGGACAUGGCAUCUGCCCGGUAAGCUGAACACUGUGGGUUCGAUUCCCAUCCCUGGAA
rnacentral:tRNA from 1 species